rnacentral:lncRNA from 1 species
UCCAAUAAAACCACCAAUUAUAUGCCUUUCAAAGGAUGUCAUCUUCUGAAAGCGUUCCACAUGGCUAUAAUCUUAUUACCUCUGGUUGAAGUAGUCACAGACCAAACUAAACGGAACUGGACCAAGGGAAGAGGACACAGAAGGUAAAAGGAAGCCAGACCAGCAUGUUCUCCCACUCUAGUGCUCCUACCAAGAGGCUUUGAUAAGCAAUCACAAUUGUCCCCAGUGACAUGAAAGAAAAAGUGAAGCACCCUGUAGGGAUGCAUAGCAUGACAUCUACGUAGACUUGGGUCAUGGAAGGAAACUGUCACCACAUACAAGUUCAAGGGAAAUGUUCAGCCUCCAGGCCGCUGAAUGAAGCUCUGCCCAGGCCUUAGGAAAAGGUGAAACCCCAACUAGCAGGGGCCCCAGUUCACCAUAUCCAGGAAGGUGUCCUUGAACCAGAAAUACCCACGUUGUACUCCGACAUGAACAAGAAAUAGAUUUCUAUUAUAUUAAGCAACAGAAAUUUUCAGAUAUAUCAGUUCUCGCAGCAGGAAGGAUGUAUUGAUAAUGGCAACAUGGAUGGAGCUCAAAACAUCACAUUUAAUGAAAAAAGAGACUUACAUAAAAAAAUUAUAGACUAUAUUAUUACAUUCAAAUGAAGUUCAAGAACAAGCAAAAGUUGUGGAAAAAUAUCAGAAAACUUGCUUCUGCUGGAGGGGUAGGAUGGGAUUUGACUGGGAAGAGGCCUAGGGGAACAUGCUGGAAUGAUAUUAAUGUUCUAUUUCUUGAUGGAGGUUUGGGUUCCACAGGUGUAUGUAUUUGCUAAAAGUUAGCAAAUGUAGAGUUAAGGUUUGUGUUCUUCCUUGUGCAAUACAUUUUACACCAAAGGAAAGGCUGUAAACAAAUAUUGAACUGUAGUUAAUCAUAUGU